AACGAACGCUGGCGGCAGGCCUAACACAUGCAAGUCGAGCGAACCCUUCGGGGUUAGCGGCGGACGGGUUAGUAACGCGUGGGAAUAUACCCUUUGGUACGGAAUAGCCUCGGGAAACUGAGAGUAAUACCGUAUGUGCCCUUCGGGGGAAAGAUUUAUCGCCAAAGGAUUAGCCCGCGUUGGAUUAGAUAGUUGGUGGGGUAAUGGCCUACCAAGUCUACGAUCCAUAGCUGGUUUGAGAGGAUGAUCAGCAACACUGGAACUGAGACACGGCCCAGACUCCUACGGGAGGCAGCAGUGGGGAAUCUUAGACAAUGGGCGCAAGCCUGAUCUAGCCAUGCCGCGUGGACGAUGAAGGCCUUAGGGUUGUAAAGUCCUUUCAGAUGGGAAGAUAAUGACGGUACCAUCAGAAGAAGCCCCGGCUAACUCCGUG
rnacentral:rRNA from 1 species